rnacentral:rRNA from 1 species
AGCAGCCGCGGUAAUUCCAGCUCCAAUAGCGUAUAUUAAAGUUGUUGCAGUUAAAAAGCUCGUAGUUGAAUUUCGGGAUCAAGGAAUCGGUCAUGCCUUGGUAUGUACUGGUUUUAUUGGUUCUCACCUUCUAAAGAACCAUAAUGUCAUUUAUUUGAUGUUAUGGGGAAUUAGGACUGUUACCUUGAAAAAAUUAGAGUGUUUAAAGCAAGCUUACGCUUGAAUACAUUAGCAUGGAAUAAUGAAAUAGGACAUCAGAUUCUAUUUUGUUGGUUUCUAGGAUCGAUGUAAUGAUUAAUAGGGAUAGUUGGGGGCAUUAGUAUUCAAUUGUCAGAGGUGAAAUUCUUGGAUUUAUUGAAGACUAACUACUGCGAAAGCAUUUGCCAAGGAUGUUUUCAUUAAUCAAGAACGAAAGUUAGGGAUC